GCCAGCAGCGGGGCGAAUAAUGCAUUAAGAUCUUGGGGAAAUUGGGAAAUACAAAUGUCAUGGCAGACCGAAAAGGAAGAAUCCAACAGAAAAGCAUACUCUGCCCGCCGUUGUUUUUCUUUUACCAUGUGGGAAGCGGAAGCGGGAAAAGAAUCCCAAAUAAACUCAAGAAAAACUGAAUGUUUUGCAUUGACGGCGCACACCGAAGUUGCAGAGCCACACAAGCACGUGCGACACGAGACCUAUUCCCCCCAUCUCCAUCUCAUCAGGUGCCCAGCCAGGUAUAAUGACGUUGUUCCUGCCAAAUCUUUGAUUAUUUUUGGACAUGUCAACCCUUCUCGUCUGUUCGCCUAAUUUGCUUUUGAUGCGGCAGAGUAGGAGGACUGGGGAUUGGGAUACGGUUCUAUAGCUAGAACAGAACUGAUUUAUAUUUAGCACUUCAUACUGGCGGGCGCUUGCCAAACUGUCUGAAAUAUGUCCAUCAAAGUGUUGACAGUUUGGCAGCAAUUGGCGGUACGCAGAACAGAUGCAUUUGUUAUUUACGGAAGA